GACGAACGCUGGCGGCGUGCCUAAUACAUGCAAGUCGAGCGAACGGAUUGGAAAAGCUUGCUUUUCCUUGAAGUUAGCGGCGGACGGGUGAGUAACACGUGGGCAACCUGCCCUUUAGUUUGGGAUAACUUCGGGAAACCGGAGCUAAUACCGAAUAAUACUCUGAACCUCAUGGUUUAAAGUUGAAAGACGGUUUCGGCUGUCGCUAAAGGAUGGGCCCGCGGUGCAUUAGCUAGUUGGUGAGGUAACGGCUCACCAAGGCAACGAUGCAUAGCCGACCUGAGAGGGUGAUCGGCCACACUGGGACUGAGACACGGCCCAGACUCCUACGGGAGGCAGCAGUAGGGAAUCUUCCACAAUGGACGAAAGUCUGAUGGAGCAACGCCGCGUGAGUGAUGAAGGAUUUCGGUUCGUAAAACUCUGUUGCAAGGGAAGAACAAGUAGCGUAGUAACUGGCGCUACCUUGACGGUACCUUGUUAGAAAGCCACGGCUAACUACGUGCCAGCCGCCGCAGUAACAC
rnacentral:rRNA from 1 species